rnacentral:rRNA from 1 species
GGAAUAUUGGUCAAUGGGCGAGAGCCUGAACCAGCCAAGUAGCGUGAAGGAUGACUGCCCUAUGGGUUGUAAACUUCUUUUAUGGGGGGAAUAAAGUGUGCCACGCGUGGCAUUUUGUAUGUACCCCAUGAAUAAGCAUCGGCUAAUUCCGUGCCAGCAGCCGCGGUAAUACGGAAGAUGCGAGCGUUAUCCGGAUUUAUUGGGUUUAAAGGGAGCGUAGGCGGAUGCUUAAGUCUGCGGUUAAAUGUCAGCGCCCAACGCUGGCAUGCCGUGGAAACUGGGUAUCUUGAAUGUGCACAAGGAAGGUGGAAUUCGUGGUGUAGCGGUGAAAUGCUUAGAUAUCACGAAGAACCCCGAUUGCGAAGGCAGCCUUCUGGAGCAUGAUUGACGCUGAGGCUCGAAAGCGCGGGUAUCAAACA